rnacentral:rRNA from 1 species
UACAGAGGGUGCAAGCGUUAUUCGGAAUUAUUGGGCGUAAAGAGCGUGUAGGCGGCCAGGUAGGUCUGCUGUGAAAACUCGAGGCUCAACCUCGAGACGUCGGCGGAAACCAUCUGGCUAGAGUCCGGAAGAGGAGAGUGGAAUUCCUGGUGUAGCGGUGAAAUGCGCAGAUAUCAGGAAGAACACCCGUGGCGAAGGCGGCUCUCUGGGACGGUACUGACGCUGAGACGCGAAAGCGUGGGGAGCGAACAGG